rnacentral:lncRNA from 1 species
UGGGCCUGUGGUACAAUAUUCGAUUCUCUAUUUGCACCAGUGUAAAAAGGGAUAUGGAAGUAAUUCUGUGUCUGUCCAAGGUGAAAGAUUCAGUAACCGUUUGUGCAGUGUGAUCAUAGCUGCAGAGUUGGGUUGAAUCCGAGUUCUGCUGCUGAUUAGCUAUGUGACCCUGGGUCAAUUGCUUAACCACUCUGUACAUUAAAUUCCUCAGUUUAGAGUGGGAAUAUUAAUAGUUCUGGUAUUCCCCGAUUUUUGAAGGUUUGCUUUAACGCCAUUUCACUUUUAUGAAAGACCUCACAUUAGUUAUAUGUCCUUGCUAACCAAAAGAAACCCAAAGAGACUUUUUGCUUUUAGGAAAAAAAAGCAAAGAGUGAAACUAGCAUUCAGCAUUUGUUUUGCAGAGAGCCUUAUAGAGGUAGCCUGUACCCCAAUUAGAGAGAGCCAUUCCGCCAAGCUCUUUACCCAGGAACUAUACUCAGCAUCUCAGCAUCAAGCCACCAUAGCUUUGAACUGCCUGCGAGCAUCUGUGGUUUACCUCGGUUUAUUUUGUGCGUCCUUCGGCAAGAUGUAUCCUAAGGCGUUUUAAAGAUAAAUGGUAAAACUGAACUGGAAAUCCAUCUGGCUGGCUGCCGGCUCUAAUGAAUAACCCCACUUUGGCGCGUGCAAUGUAAGCAGAAAGUUCUCUCCCGGCCUCUUUUGUCUGUCAUGAAUCUACGAGACAGCCGACAUAAUAUCUGGGCGACAACGGUGCGCUAACAGUGCAGUGACUUCCAUUUUCUUUGCUUUCUAUUGAUUUUCACUUAAUAACUGGCGAAAUACUAAACGUCCGCCCUGAGUACCUAAUAAAUCCUGCCUGAGCUUUUUAUUGAGGAGAAUU